UACGGGGGGGGCAAGCGUUGUUCGGAAUUACUGGGCGUAAAGGGCUCGUAGGCGGCCAACUAAGUCGGCCGUGAAAUCCCCAGGCUCAACCUGGGAACUGCGUCCGAUACUGGAUGGCUUGAAUCCGGGAGAGGGAUGCAGAAUUCCAGGUGUAGCGGUGAAAUGCGUAGAUAUCUGGAGGAAUACCGGUGGCGAAGGCGGCAUCCUGGACCGGCAUUGACGCUGAGGAGCGAAAGCCAGGGGAGCAAACGGG
rnacentral:rRNA from 1 species